rnacentral:rRNA from 1 species
UUUAAAUUGAGAGUUUGAUCCUGGCUCAGGAUGAACGCUGGUGGCGUGCCUAAUACAUGCAAGUCGUACGCUAGCCGCUGAAUUGAUCCUUCGGGUGAAGUGAGGCAAUGACUAGAGUGGCGAACUGGUGAGUAACACGUAAGAAACCUGCCCUUUAGUGGGGGAUAACAUUUGGAAACAGAUGCUAAUACCGCGUAACAACAAAUCACACAUGUGAUCUGUUUGAAAGGUCCUUUUGGAUCGCUAGAGGAUGGUCUUGCGGCGUAUUAGCUUGUUGGUAGGGUAGAAGCCUACCAAGGCAAUGAUGCGUAGCCGAGUUGAGAGACUGGCCGGCCACAUUGGGACUGAGACACUGCCCAAACUCCUACGGGAGGCUGCAGUAGGGAAUUUUCCGCAAUGCACGAAAGUGUGACGGAGCGACGCCGCGUGUGUGAUGAAGGC